GUGCUUGUUUUGGCAGAAUAUAUGCUAAAAUUGGAAUGAUUCAGACAAUAUCAGCAUGGUCCCGGUGUAAGCUUGGCAUACAAAACCAUUAAAAAAUAUGCUGAAGUU